rnacentral:lncRNA from 1 species
CAAGAUACCCACCUGAGAGGAAAGAAAAAGAAAAUAUAGAGCAUCUCAUUCUCCUCAAAAAGUUUCAAAGAGCAAGAAAGGUAUGUAUCCCCUCAAAAGAGCACAAGUAGAAUUAGACUUUCACCAUUGUUAUCACCAUCAUCACCAUACACCAUUCAUUCGCCACACAUGCACAUCUUGAUUUGACUUACUGACUUGUUCUUCUGGAUCUAUGGUUUGACUAUGCAAUAAAUGUCUUGUAAGUAUGUAUUAGCUGUCUCCCACCUAUGAGCUCCAGAUAUCAAAACCUUAUUAGAGCAGGGUGAGAGAGAAGGCAAUGCCACUAUGCCUCAUACCAAAAAUACCAGAUACUUUGAGAGAAGGCAGACACCAUUACUGUCUUGGUAAGGAUCCAGAAAUACCACAAAAGAGAGACUAGAGAGAGUCAUAAAAGGAAUCUCUGAGUUUUAUUUGAAAAUCUGCAAAAACUCCAGAGCUAUAGUUAAUCGAAGAACAAGAGACAUGGCACUUGACUAGACCGUUCUAUCUUUUAACUGCUCAAGACACAAGUGACGGUUACAAGCCCCAUGGUGAAAGGUAAAAUGAGUAAGUUUAAAUCUUAACAGUUUACCCUAACCCAGAGAUGAGAUCUUGUUUGAACGAAUGUAUACCUUUAAGGCAUGAAACCACUGCAGAAACUCUUGAGUUCAUCUUUGCUCAGGGACGAGCAAAGGUUAAGCUUGGGGGAGCUUGUUGACAAUCCUUAAUGCUCACAUUUAACCAUCAACUAAUCAUGGAAAAGGAUCUAAAUGCAACCAACACCCAGACUUAGGGUUUUAUCUGACAGAAUUCCACGAGUUUUGGUGUUUGUCUAUUUCUACAGGGGUUAUCAGGAAAUAUGGAGGAAAGGCGCACACGUCGGGUUUACAUAGAGAUAUUAACGUGCCGCGCAAUUUUCUAUCAUCUAGAGGACUCCAGAAGCCACGGGAACGAACGGGAAGCUGACAAGGCUCAGGGACAGGGCGCCCGCCCUAGGGACUCCCUAGGGCGCCCGCCCAGCUACAGUGUCCAAUUCGGACCCGUUUCGCGGAUUAUGCUCCACCAACCUAAGGGAUCAAGGAAAACCAUGCGAUUAAUGUCGGUUUGAUCCGACGGUCCAGAUUCAUCUGAAAAGACUAUAUAAGCAAGGCCCCCUGGCCCCUGGAGAUCAUACCUCUUCUACCGAAUCAAAGCUAGGGUUUCAAUUCUUCAUCCAAGUAGAGAGGAUCCCUCUAGUUCAUCUAGUUCUAGCUCUAGUUCAUCUAGUUCUAGUUCAUCUAGUUCUAGUUCCUCUAGUUCUAGUUCUAGUUCGUUCUAGUUGUAAUCUAGAAAAUAGGGAGAGAGAAGAGGAGAGCGGAGGAGGAGCCGGAUCUGUCGGAUCUUCCUCAACAUUAUACUUUUGCUCCAACUGGUUCGUUCUUCAUCGUUCUCCAAGUUCUUCAAUUCAUAAUUUCUGAGUUCUUUAAUUACUUUUAUUUACAUUCAAGUUAUUUAUUGGAUUCGCGCUUGCAUCAAGUGCUCUAGUCUUUAUAACGCUAGAGUAGUAAUUAAUAGAUUAGACGUGGUGUUUAGUCUUGCAAUUACCUGGAAUUGCACGCAAUCCUGCGGAUUGUUGUGGUAGCCCUAGGGUAGUGACAGCCCUAGCGGUCGACGUAUUCCACCUCGUUCGGAUCGGUGUUUGUAGGACCAUAGUUAGAGCUUCCUAGCCCCCUUCUCAUCUCUUUCUGUGGUUAGUGUUCUGAUGUCCCGAAAUAAAUAAUCUUUGAAGUAAUUCUUGAUUCUUAGAUGGAGAACUCUCAGGAAACUUCCUCUCUUCCCACCAAAAAUAAUUAUAUAGUUAUCCUUGGGCGAUCUUGAAUCUUAAUUAGUACACUCACGUUUCCUGUGGAAAAUUGAUACUCUGGAAUACUCCCGGGUGAAAGCUACAUCGGUAUCCGUGCGCUUGCGGAUUUUUCUGUUUGCGUUUAAAAUACCCAACAGUGAUCACUAUAGAGGAAGGUGAGAUUGAUGAGGAUGGUAUUCUGGAAAAUCUUAGAGAACUGCUUGACAAGGACUGGGCUUGGCAGUUGAAGAAAUCUGAUGAGUAUAGCUAUAUAGUAAGAUUUCCUCCAAAUAGGAUAGUUGAGAAUUUAGUGAUUGGCAAGGCUUCAGUUUUUGAUCUCAACAGACCUGGAGUGGUUGGAUCUCUGAGUGUGUGGAAUGGUGAGAUUGAACCAAUAGGAAGUUUGACUGAAGUUUGGGUUCUCAUCCAAGGAAUACCUCCUAAAUGGGUUGACUGGAGAACUAUGUGUGAAGUCUCUUCUGGUCUGGGAAGGAUGAUAGAAGUGGACUGGCAGACACUUUUCAACAGUUUCUUUAGUACAGUGAGAGUGAAAGUUCUGUGCAAAGACCCCACCAAGAUUCCAAAGGAAAGGCUAUUUGUUUUCAAAGACAAGAUACAUCUGAUUUUGUUCACUCCUGAAGGUUAUGAGCAAGUUAGUAACAAUAUGGAUGAUGGCUGUAAUAAAGGGGGUGGGGCUGAGAAGAAAGAAGAUGAAUCUUUAGAGGAUGAUAGUCCAUACCCAGAUAAUGGUGGUGUUGAACCUAAAGAGGGUGAUAAAGAUAAAGAGCAAAAUCAGUCUAAUACCAAGUCUCAGGGGAGUAAGAGUGCAUCUAAGGGGGGCAAAACAGUGAAAAGGGCUUUAACCUUUGAAGAUACAGAGAAUGUUUUUAAAGAAGGUUCCUUGGAGUGUGCAAAGCUUUUGAAGGCUAUGGAGUUAGAGGAAGAUGAUGAGUGGAGUGUAGCCUUAGAGAUGGAUCAUGUUCCAAGUUCUCAAGGAGAUGAUGACACCUGUCUUUUACCAGAAGAAUGGAUCUAUAAUCUUUCUGAGGAAAGGAAGAGUAAAGGAAGGACAAGUGCUAGAGAAUCGGAUGUAGAUCCUGCUUUUACACACAACAAGGAGGAGAUUCAAUCUGAUCACACUACUCAUGAUCUACCAAGUGUUGAAGAAGAGGAAACAUUCAAUACUCAGCCUAGAAAAGACAUCCUAGAAAAACAAGUACAGCAGGAGAGUAGAAAGAGUAAGAAAAACCAAUGGGGACCUAUUAUACCAGUGAGGAGGAGUUCCAGGAAUGUGAAUGUUGGGAAGUCAAUGUUGGAGAAAGCUCAGGCAAUGAAGGGAAGAUGGAAUCUCGAGGACAAAACAGGUAAAACUAACAGAAACCCAAAAAUCUCAAAGUCUCUGUUAAUUUCUGUUGCCAAGGAUGUUGGCUUAGAUUUAAUGGAUGGAGAUCCUGGUUGCAUAGAUGGUAUGUUAGAGCUUGACUGCAGUAGGAAUGCUGCUAGUAAGCUUAAUUGCAAUAUUCAGGAAUGUGGGUAUGAUGGUUCUUUAGAAAAUAAAGAUAAGUCUGAUAUGGUUUCUACUAGUAGGAGUUCUUCGACUCAUGUUAAGAACUGUCAGGAUGGAAAUCCUGAUGGGGAUGUGACUGACCAGGAAUUAGGUUGGUCUAAGGUAGAAAAUAAGAAAAAAAACAAGAAGAAAAAAUGAAAGGUAUGUUCUGGAAUAUUCGAGGUUUAUGGAAAAUUGAUAGACUCCCUGCUUUGAGGAGUAGAAUUAGAGAUAAUCAAUUGGAUUUUGUGGGUAUUAUGGAAACUAAGAAAAAUUUUUUGUCUGAUGGUUUUUUAAAGUCUUUGACACAUAAUGUCCCUUUUGAUUGGUUUCAUUUAGAAGCUAAAGGCUCAGCAGGAGGAAUCCUGGUGGGUGCAAAUAAAGACCUUUUUAACAUGGCCAUAGGAGAUGUGUUGAAAUAUUCUGUUAGUGCUAUGAUGACCUGCAAAAAAACAGGUUUCUCUUGGAAAUUGAUUGUAGUUUAUGGUCCAGCCUAUGAGGAACAGAAGCUGGAUUUUUUAGAUGAAUUGGAGCUGUUGAUGAAUAUUUGGCAAGGUCCAAUUCUUAUUGGAGGUGACUUUAACCUAGUUAGAUUCUUAAGAGAUAAAAGUAAUGGGAUCAUUAAUCAUAUGUGGGCUGAUAGUUUUAAUGAGUGGGUAGAUAAGUGGGCUCUGAUUGAACUGUCUGCUAGUAAUAAGAAGUAUACCUGGACCAACAACCAGGAUUGUCCUGUUUUGGCUAAGAUAGAUAGAAUUUUGUCUCUACAGCUUGGGAAAAGGCUUAUCCCUUAGUUAGUGUGAAAGCGUUGGAAAGGUAACCUAGUGACCAUAAUCCUCUAGUCAUUAAUUCUGGAGAUAAUACUAGUUUUGGGAAGAAGAGAUUUAGGUUUGAAAAGUGGUGGUUAGAGAAGGAUUCCUUUAAUGAGAUGGUUAGGAAAGCUUGGGAUACUCCUUGCAAGCUAGAGAAUAGUAUGGAUAGAUGGCAAUUCAAAAUCCGAACUCUUAGAAGGAUGGUUAGAGGGUGGGCAGCAAAUGAGGUUGCUGUUUUGAACAAAACUAAGGCUGUUUUGGUGGAUAAGUUUAGUAAGUUAGAUUCUCUAUCUGAAUUUAGAGAGCUUGAUUCAGAGGAGCUCCAGGAGCUUAGAGAUGUAGAAAAGGAGCUAGAACAAAUAUGGACUCUGGAGGAGAUUAAAGCUAAACAAAGGUCUAGGGAUAGAGACAUUUUAGAAUGAGAUAGGAAUACUGCUUAUUUCCAGGCUUUCGCAAAUCAGAGGAGUAGGAGGAAAAGAAUAGAAUGUCUGGAAGGUCCUUUGGGCUCAGUCUAUGAUCAAAAGGGUAUGAUGCAAAUAGCAGUGGAUUUUUAUAAGAAUCUCUUUGCUAAAGAAGUUGAUUCUAAUGUUAAGCUUUGCUCUAAUUUUUGGGAGGACCAGGAUAAAGUUUCUUUGGAAGAUAAUAGCUUGUUAAUAGCUCCUUUUUCAGAAAGGGAGAUUAAAGAUGCCAUUUUCAGUUGUUAUCCGGAAGGAGCACCUGGACCUGAUGGACUUCCUUUUCUUUUUUACCAAAAAUUCUGGGAUUUAGUGAAAGAAGAUAUUGUGAAUCUCUUUGAUGAUUUUCAUAAAGGGAAACUAGAUCUUUAUAGAAUUAAUUGUGCUUUAGUCACCUUAAUCCCGAAAGUUGGAGAAGCUUCUAAUAUGAAACAGUUUAGACCUAUCAGUCUCCUCAAUUGUAGUUUUAAAAUCUUUUCCAAAAUUUUGACCCCUAGACUUAGCUCUGUAGUUCAAAAAGUUGUAGUUCCUACUCAAUCUGCUUUUAUUAAAGGUAGAUAUAAGUGGCUCAUGAGCUAGUUCAUAGUCUUAACAAGUCAGGGGAUCAAGGCUUGGUCCUCAAACUUGAUUUUGAAAAAGCUUAUGCUAGGAAUUUUCACCCUUUGCUGAUUACUUGGAUUAAGCAGAUAGUUAUUGGAGGUUCUAUUAGCAUUAUGCUUAAUGGAGAGGAUAGUUCGUCUUUUAAAACAGGAAAGGGCCUCAGACAAGGGGACCCUUUAUCUCCUUGUUUGUUUAAUUUAGUAGGAGAUGGCUUGGCUAAGAUGUUGGUUAAAAGCAACUAAUAAAGGUCUUAUUAGAGGUUUGCUAGAAGAUUUUAAACCAGGAGGCUUAGUGUCCUUACAAUAUGCUGAUGAUAUUAUUCUUUUUGUUAAGGCAGAGGAAUCUGUCCUAACAAACCUUAAAUGUGUUUUAAUGUGGUAUGAACAAAUUUCUGGUAUGAGAAUUAAUUUUCACAAAAGUGAGGUAGUUCCUAUAAAUUUAGAACAGUUUGAGGCACAUAGGUUAGCUCACAUUUUUGUCUUGCCCCUUAGGUUCUUUUCCUAUUAAGUACUUAGGGAUUCCUCUUCAUUAUGAGAAGUUGUCCAGAGAAGACAUACAACCUUUGGUUGAUAAAAUUCUGAUGAAACUUGGUGGUUGGAGAGGGAGGCUCCUCUCUUUAGCAGCUAGAGCAAUGCUUAUUAAGUCCUGUCUAGCAAGUAUUCCAGUUUAUCUUUUAUCGUUUAUCAAGUUCCCCCAAAUGGGCCAUCACGAUCAUUAAUACUCAUAUGAGUAAUUUCCUUUGGAAUGACUCUGUAGAAAAUCAUAAGUUUCACUAGCUAACUGGGAGUUAGUUUCUAUGAGAAAGGAGUAUGGGGGUUUAGGUAUACCAAAUUUUAGGGAUCUGAAUAUUAGCUUGAUGGCCUCUUGGUUAAAAAGAUAUAAGAUAGAUAAAGAUAAGCUUUGGAAAGAUCUUAUAGAUUAUAAAUAUAACACUUCAAAUCCUAACAUUUUUGUGACCAACACGGUAGGAGCUUCUAGUUUUUUUAAAGGUUUCAUGUGGGCAGCUCAAGCUGCUAAGAUGGGUUAUAGGUGGAAAAUAGGGAAUGGGCAAAAAGUUAGACUCUGGGAAGAUAACUGGUUGGGCUCCUCUAGCCUAGCUAUUCAGUUCUGGCCUAUAUAUAGGGUUCUGAAUGAAAAAGGAAAAUCUGUAUAGCAGAUUUAUGGGAUGGGGUAAAUUUGAAGUGCACCUUUAGGAGAAAUUUUUCUAGCGAGAUGUACCAAAAUUGGCUUGAUAUAGUCGAGUUAGUUUCUACUAUUUGGUUUACUGAUGACGAUGACGAUUUGAUUUGGCAUUUUAGUUCAAAUGGGGUCUAUUCCUCCCAAUCCCUUUAUAGAGUUAUUAACUUUAGAGGUAUAAACACUGUUCAUGUUUCAGCAGUCUGGGAGCUGAAAAUCCCACCCUGUGUGCAUUUCUUUCUUUGGUUAGUUAUUAAUAACAGAGCUUUGACUAGAGACAACUUAGCCAAAAGAAGACAGGUUGAAGAUGGAAGUUGUUUAUUUUGUGCUGAAAAAGAAACUAUUCACCAUGUUUUUUUUGAAUGUGUGGUAGCUAAACAGUGUUGGAGGGUUUUGUCAAAUAUUCUUGAAUAUCAAGUAGGAGGUAAUAUGAUAGAUAUAGGAAAGUAUUGGCUAAGUAAUAAAAAAUUCUGUAUUCUGAAUAUGGUUACCUCAGCUACCAUUUGGUCUAUUUGGAAACUUAGAAAUGAUUUAUGUUUUCAGAGGCUUGGCUGGAGAAGCAUGGAAAUGCUCUUUUUCAGGAUUACUGGGUUACUAAGGAAUUGGAUGGUGCUUUGUCCGAUAGACAAGAAAAUUUAUUGGACUCUUACAUCAACAAGAUUAAAGCUGCGUCAAAGGAGGUGGGAUGGCUGUUAUAUCUGGACCAGGACAUCAACUGACGUCUAUCAGAAGGGAUGGAGAAGAUCUGGUUUGUGAAGGUUUAAAGAAUCAAGCUUCAGGGAUGAUUUGGGAUGGCAAGGUCUCCUGGUGGAGUGAGCUGGACAAUUUGAUGGGUUGAUAUUAAUUGAAAGGCCGGGGCGUAAGGCCCUUGAACUCAAAAAAAAUUAAUUAUGUGCUAUUAGUCUCGACUUUAACAAAAAAAAUUGCACAAUGAAGUGUUUAUACACUAUGUAAAUCACUGGUAUGCAGUAUGCUCAGUUAUAUUUGCUAAUUCUUUGAUAUUAUAAUUGAAAGUUAAAGUGAAAACAUAUACCCCUAGCCAUUCGUGUUUGCCUAUGCUUAGCGUAGAUACAAUUGAUUACUUAAGUAGAGGAAAUUAUAUUGAUUUCAAAAUUAAUUAUAUAUACCGUUUAGCAUAGCAUUGAGUGCAAUAAAAACAAUAGCUUUGAAGAUAAAAUGACACAUAUAUGUCAAAACUAUGAUUAUCUUUCCCUAAUAUAUAAUUGUGAAAAUUUCAGUUCUCCACCUAAAUUCUAUCCACCAGCCCCUCAGAAUCCCACUCGAGACAUGACCGAUCCAGAUGGACGAGAGAUGUCGAUCUAACCACCAGAGACCGAAAAUUACAUGCACGCAUAUGCAUGGGAGCAUACAUGUGUCACGGAACGGAUCGGAACAGGAGACUUGGAGUUCAGGCCAAUUUGAUCAAGUGUUUUCGUAUGUCGGAUCUCUAUAAAAUCAAGAAGAAGUCCACGGUAAAAGGACACGUACAUGAAUGCCACCUAGACUUUGAUGUGAGACCGAGACCGCGCACAUGACGACACUAUCCAAAUCACAUACUGCGCCUCUCUGAAUCCGGCUCACACACGGCGAUUAGUAAAUAGCUAGCAAAAACCAUCUCAGUCCAACCAUGAACCAACGACGAGCACCCUGGUGAGAUCUUUGUUUAUUCAAGCCUACCUUUUUGCUUAGCCUGUUCAGUAAUUACAUCGCUUUAAUGUUAGCUAUGAGUAAAAGUUGUACAUAGUGCAAAAUCAAUUAUUUAGCCUGUUGAGUGAUACCUAUUGCUGCCUUUUUAUGUUUUUAUAUGUAACUAGCAAAUGUACCCGUGCGUUGCUACGGGAGAUAAAAAAAAGCUAUCUAAUGUUCCACUUAUUUGCUUCAAUUCGCUGCACGCCUACAAAGGUUGCAUUAGCUUAAAUUCGUAUAGAUGUAGGUGCUACUUUUGAUGUUUGUGACUGUUUGCUACACCAGUCCCAAACAAAUGUCCUGGUUAAUAGAAAAAAGGACCACAAUAUUACAUAUCUAUUUACUUUUUAUUAUUUCUAUAAAAUUUAAAAGUUAACUUUAUAUAUCACGACCAUCAUAAUAGAAGUAAAUAUUAACAGUAAUAUAAUAAUGUCUUAUUAGUUCUUUCUUUGAUGUAUUCUUUCUUUUUUGCAAGGAACAAAAAUUUUUAUUUAUCAAUAUAUCAUAUCUUAAGUUUUUAUAUUAUUCAUGUGUUGAUUGAGUUAGAUAUCAAGUACUGUGAUUUUUUUAGGAUCCGCAAAAAUAUCUAUUUUUAAUAUUUUAUUAAAGUCGACAAGGUUUUAUUCAUUAUCCUAUCAAUAAUUGGUCUAUCUAUUGAUGAGUACGAAGUAUGACCGAUAUCUCUAUCGAUUUCCACAUGUUAGUUCUUGUUGAGAGUUGUACUGGUAAUAACAUGGAGAUUUGCACCGGUAUAUACGGAUAACUUGGAGAAACAUUUAGAUUUGAUUAGAUUGGAUGACAAACAGAUCAAGAUUUUAGUUUAUAGUUUGAUUAGCUAGAUCAUCUACUCAUUUAUGCAAUAAUGAUAAUUUAUUCAUAUUCAAAUUACAUUGAAAGCUUAAGGAUUCAAAUAUUUAUAUUUAUUUAAUUAAUUGGUAGUGGUUCCGUAAUACUAUGUUUACUAUUUUUUAUCCAAAAAGGUAGAGUUACAUAAAAAUUAAAAAUCAUGAAAAAAGGAGCACGUGACGCCACAAUUCAGCAGCAGCGGUACGAACCAACGAAAAAAAAGAUAAAAAAGAGACACAAACCAAAAAAAUGUGGAUGGUUUAUUCGGUCUUUAGAUCUGCUAAACGUCCGAGCUAGCUUUAACUUUGGCUACAUGAGCCUGGGCCGCUCAAGCGCGUUGGUGCACGCUGCCCCGCAGGCCCACUGAGGUGUUGGGUUGAUCUGAACCGUUGAUGUCAAUCUGAUGGCUGAGGAUGCUCUUGCCGGGAAUAAAAUCAAUCAGCCGCCACUAUCAAAGGAAAAACCUAGCUUUACUUUUCCUGUCUUUCUCACCCCUUGCAACUGAGAGAGAAGAGUAAACGAGCGUGCGGAGCCGAGCUGAGGGGCGCCGUCGACGGGGCGCGCGUGGCCGGCUGACCUGGUCCGCCGCCCGACCGCUCUUCCAGAGCUCGCGUGCAGGGUUGGCCGCAUGUGGCUCCGUUGAGCCACCUUGCAGUGGCGCUCAGGCGCCCCACGCGGUCACGAGCGUUGAGCCCAGGCGGCCCAGCAGCCGCGUGGGGGCCUAGAGGAGCGCGAGGGAGUUGCCGAGCAAGGCGAAGUUUUUUUUCUCACCGGAUCUAGCCAGUGCAAGGUACGAGGAGGAGAUUGUCUUCCCAGUAGCUUCUGCGACAACCUUGGCUCCUUCAGGCUUGCAUCCUCCAUGUUCCAUGCCGCCCUGUAGCUCAAUGGCCAAGUAUCAAGUUGAUUCAUUUUAUCUUGAUUUGGUCUUGUCGCCUCUCGAUUUAGCAUUUUGUGGAUGUGGAUUUGAUUUAAUGUGUGGAGGCACCAGUGCCUUGUAUUUAUAGCCCAGUUGGUGUCCGAUUUGAGUUAGUUCGUUAUUUCGGAAGGAUGUGGAAUCUGGAUUUGGUUAUGUAUCGUGUGUGCGGACUAAAUAUCGGAUAUACUUUACCUUAUAUAGACACGGAUAUGUUGCGUCCGUACUCCGAAUCGAGGCCCGACGGACUGGUGGCAGAAGAAAUUUAGGCAGACUGAAAUUUUGGCUCUUUAUAGAUAGGUAUAGAUAAGGCAUAGAGACUUGCAUACCACUGAUUUUUCGGUUAGGGACACCAAUAGCUUUAGCUAACUUAGUCGUGAUACAUAAGCUUUUUGCAUGAUUUUUGCUCCAUGAUUUAAUUUUUCAGUUUAAAGAUUAUAAAAGUCUUCAUCUUACAGCUGGAUUAGUACUAUUGAGUGCUUAAAAAACAUUAAGUAGAGGUAUGUAAUGAUAUUCUCUGUGAUAUUAUGUUGGGUGCAUUGUGUACAUCUAUGUCAAUUUCCAAAGUGCGUGUCCAUAAUGCUACCAAUUCAUUCCUAUCAAUUGAUGAUGCUAAAGAACGCAAGAGACAAAGGGAUAGAGCCCAAUGGCAUACAAUGAUAGAUUAUAAUUACAUAUUUUUAGGGGUCUUUUGGAACAUUAUAACAUAUAAAAAUUAAAUUAUGAUAAUUAACGUCAAAAUAUUUCUAUGCUUUGCAAGAGGAUGAAAAUCUAGCAAAAUUGUAUUGUAACUCGAUGCAUGCACAAUAGAACAUUGCUAUUGUUAACGUGGUGGUCAUAAAAUAAAUUAUAGAUUUCAAAUUUUAAACAAAAGACAAAAACAUAAUUAGAUAUUUAUAUAGUCGUCAUUGUUUCUCAUCUAUAUUUGAUAGUUUUUUACCCCGUUGCAACGCAUGGAUUGCUAGUAAUACCGAAACGGUAUUUAUGGACGUCAAGGAUUUUUUCUGCUCAAGGCUCAUGGUUUUUAAAAAAGCCACAAUAGAAAUCAAAAUAUACGACUAUGGCUAUGACGAACCGUAAGUGAAGAUUUUUAAGAUAAAGUAUGUUUUUGUUAAAACCACGGAAACAAUACUACUUGAAACUUUUCUAGCUUAAUGCACCACCAUUUAUUGUGAACACAAAACCUGAUUGAGAUUAUGAAUCAUCUGUGUUAGUUUGGAAGCUAGUGUCGGUGUAACCAUUUACAACGAGCUCCACCUCACCUCCAUAGAUUAGGAACACAUCUUUAGUUUUUCUCAAGUACUUAAGAAUGGUUUUAACAAGUGUCCAAUAACUUUUACCUGGAAUAGCUUGGUACCUACUCGCAACACUUAGUGCAUAUGAGACAUCUAGGCAAGUACAUAUCAUGGCAUACAUGUGAUGGAACCAAUUGCCGAAGCUUAUGGAACCUCACUCAUGCAUUUGCACUUUUUAGCUGAUGAAGGACACUACUUAUCGCUAAAAUGCAUACCAUGUGACAUAGGAAAGAACCCUCUUUUAGAUUGUUCCAUGUUGAACCGUUUUAACACCUUGUCAAUAGUUUUAUCCUGUUUUAACACCGUUUUAACAUCUUGGCUUAAUCCUAUUAGCCUUUUGGACCUAUCUCUAUAGACCUUAAUGGCCAAAAUGUAUUCGUCUUCUCCUAAAUCCUUCAUAGAAAAACUAUUAUUGAGGGAAGUCUUUACGGAUUGCAACAUUGGAAUGUCAUUCCCAAUCAAUAAUAUGUCAUCCACAUACAAGGUUAGAAAUACAACAGCGCCCCCAGUUUCCUCCUUGUAAACACAAGAUUCUUCUUCGUUCUGACGAAAGCCAAAUCCUUUGACCACUUUGAAAGAGCAUCUAGGCCCCUAGUGAUUUUGGUGAUUAAUGACAAUGUUGAUUACUAUGACUAACGUGUGUUUUGCAGAGGCAAAGUUAUAGGUAAGGUCAUGGUAAUAGGUACUCGAUGGACAGGGACGUACAUGCCUACUUAAUAGUGGAAAUCAUUUCGGUUUUCAAAGGAUGGAUGGACAUCGUCAAGACUAGACUAGGUCUAAGUGCCAUGUGGUGAAGAAGGGCACUUAGAGUAGUUUAGGACUUUGUUUUCCUUUGACCGUACUAUUAAGAGGGGCUUUGAUCUAGUAGCUUGACUUAGGCAAGGCUUUAGGUUUAGGUGUGGUGCACACUUGGUAAACCUAGCACUAGGUAGCUCAGAGAUAGUCCUUAGAUCGAGAGGAACCAACUUCGUUUUGGAGCGAUCGCGUUUCGACGAAGUUAGGGUGCCCAAGGGGGCACCGGACGCUACACCAGAUGCUCUGUGAGUGCGUCCGGUGAUGUCCUUAGCCGUUGAAACAGUGUGGUGCUUAGGGUUAAGCACCGGACUCACCGGGCAGCGUCCGGUCCCACACCCAGGGAGGUUGUAAACUUCCCCUGAGCACCGGACGCUAGCACCGGACAUACCGGGUAGCGUCCAGUCCCAUACUCAGGGAGUAUGUAAAACUCCCUGGAGCACCGGACGGUGCCACCGGACGCUAAGAGUUUAGCAUCCGGUGACCUGUCAGACAAGGUACAGUUAGCCGUUAUGGAGCACCGGACGCUCGGUGCAGAGCGUCCGGUGCAACAUAAAGAGCGUCCGGUGACCCUGUUUUCAUUGGAAAAUGGUUAGCUGACCUUUGGACUUCGUGGGUAGUAUUUAUACGCCUCCACCUCGUCCAUGAGAGGUCUCUUGCCCAUUUGAACAUCUGAGAAACUUGUUGUGGAGCAAGAGAGUUGCAAGAGCCUAGAGAGGAUUGAGUUUUGAGUGAUUUCUUGAGAUAAUCCUUCUCUAGUGAAUUCCAAGAGUCAAGUGUGCAUCCACCACUCUCUAUAGCCUUGUUUGGGUCAAGUGAGAGUUCUUUGCUUGUUACUAUUGGUGAUCGCCAUCGCCUAGACAGUUCGGUGGUGAUUGGAGGCACGAAGACCGCCCGGAGUUCUUGUGGGUGGCUCGUGUCAAGCUUGUGAGCGGUUUUGGGCGAUUCAGCGCGACGGAGUGUCGAAGAAUCAGCCCGUAGAGAGCACUUGGUCCUUGCGCGGACCAAGGCGGAGCAAUACCCUUGCGCGGGUGCUCCAACGAGGACUAGUGGAGAGUGGCAACUCUCCGAUACCUCGGCAAAACAUCGCUGAGCAUUUUCUUCCACUACUCCUUUACUUUCCAGCAUAUACUUUGUGCUUUUACAUUCUUAGAAUUGCCUUGCUAGAAUAGGAUUGGAAUAGGUUCCAAAACUUUUAUCCGGUAGCUCUCUAGGUCACACUAGGCACAAGGGGUUGAAUUGGAGCUUAUAGGUUGCUUAAAUUUUUAGAGAAGCCCAAUUCACCCCCCCUCUUGGGCAUCUUGAUCCUUUCAAUUGGUAUCAGAGCCUAGUGCUCAUUAUUUAGGCUUCACCGCCUAGAGAAAAGAUGUCUAACGGGGAUGGACCGCCACCCCUGUUCGAUGGGGAUGACUUCCCGUAUUGGAAAAUACGGAUGGAGUCAUACCUUGAGGCAUGUGAUGUAAAGUUCCUAAAAGCCACGACCGAAGGGUUUACCCCUCCGGAAAAAGACACCGCUCUUACUCCACAAGAGCAAGAAAACGAGAAGUGGAAUGCGAAGGCCGAAAACCACAUCUUUAGAGGCCUUUGCAAAGAGGUGUUCAACCGCGUUCGGAGCCACAAAACCGCCAAUGCUCUUUGGAAGGAACUUUGUGCGCUCCAUGAGGGAUCAAAGAGUGAACGCGAGGAACGCUAUCACUUUGUGAUGAACAAGCUUAAUACAUUUGAGAUGCUUCCAAAAGAAAAUGCUAAUGAAAUGUAUUCUCGCUUGAAUGUUAUUGUAGAGGAGCUUAAUGGACUUGGGCUCACUCAAAUGAGUGCGGCGGAUGUAGCAAGGAAGAUACUAUGUGUGCUACCCAUUGAGAAAUAUGGGCACAUAGUAACGGUGCUUCAUCAAGGCGAUCUCUCCACAGCUACACCAACCGCCAUAUUGGGGAAGAUCAAUGCUCAUGAGAUGUACAUGCACAUGAACCCCCAAGAUGGCUCCUCAUCGGCCAAGAAGGAAAAGAAGGACUUGGCCCUCAAAGCUUCUCACAAGGGCAAGGCCAAGAAGAUUGAAGUUGAGUCAUCAACUUCAAGUGAUGAUGAUGCAUCUAUUGCCCUCAUGGUGAGAAGAACCACAAAGAUGUUGAAGAAGCUCAACAAGAAUGGAGUCAACUUUGACUCCAAAAAGAAGAAGUUCUUCACAAGUAGCAAGAGAAAGCCCAUCUCCGAGAUGGAUUGCUACAAUUUUGGUGAGCUUGGCCAUCUUGGUCAUCAAUGUCCAAAGCCCAAGAAGGACAAAUACAAGAAGAAGAACAAAGAGUAAGAUGAUUCAAGUGAUGAUGAGAAGAAUGACAAGAAGCAAUACAAGAAGAAAGGUAGCAAGAAGAAGGAGCACUACAAGAAUAAGAAUGACAAGGCUUACAUUGUUGGUGAUUGGCUCACCGACAUUGAGAGCUCAAGUGGUGACUCCUCCGACAAUGAGAGUGAUGAUGAGAAGGUUGCCGCCAUUGCCAUCGAUGCUUCAUCACCAUCAUCUUCACCACCAUCUACAUCCUCUACACACCUAUGCCUCAUGGCUAAGGGUGACCGGUAUUGACGGUCCUUAAGUAUCAAAUUUAAUUAUCAAAUAAAUAAAGAAAAGGAUCCAAAUGAAAUCAACAUCUAGACUUAGGGUUUAAUCUGACAGAAUUCCACGAGUUUUGGUGUUUGUCUAUUUCUGCAGGGGGUUAUCAGGAAAUACGGAAGAAAGGCCCACAUGUCGGGAUUACAUAGAGAUAUUAACGUGCCGCGCAAUUAUCUUACAUCUAGAAGACUCCAGAAGCCACGAGACCGAAGCGGAGGCGAAACGGGGCCAGAGGCAGGGCGCCCGCCCUCCUGCCCUGGGCGCCCGUCCUCUCCCUGAGUCCAAUCAGGACUCUGCUUCGUGGGAGAUCUCCACCGACCUAAAGGAUGAAUCUAAACCAUGCAAUCUAAGUCGGUUUGAUCCAACGGCCCAUACUCACUUGAAGGGACUAUAAAACCAGACCCCCUGGCCCCUGGAGGAGAGAGCCUCUCAACCCUAAUUCAUUGUUCUUCAAGGGAGAAGAAGCCUCUGAUCAAGAUUAGAGCCACCACAUCAAUUAGAUAUCUAGAUUAGCAUAGCUACAUAGGAUUAGAACUAGAAGGAGUCAAUCUUCGAUUGGUUUCCGGAUCUGUCAAGAGGAUUCUUGGUAAUUCUCUAAUUGUGCUUCUAAUUACUUUCUAAUUAUCUUUGUUCUUCAAUAUUAUGAAUAUGACUUUGUUCUACUUCAAUAUAUUGCUUAUGACUUUGCUCUACUUGCUUAUAUUCAAGAUUAUAUUGUUCUUAGUUUAUCAUAGUUAUGUACUUGGCUUAGUUAGAUUGGAUCUAUAUACAUGCUUAGGAUCGUAUAGCGUUUAUCCAUCGGAUCCAUGGGUAAAUGAUAGAUAUUGUGUAGGCGUGGUGCUUAUACCGUAUUUAUCUGCGAUUGUACCCAAUAUGCCAGAUCGUGGGGUGGUUCGUGAUAGUGACAGCUUCAUUGAUUCUUAUAUAGUCCCCCUCUCGUGUAUUGGGCUGGCAGAGCAACAUUAUUACAGGGGAGUGAUUGCUAUGUUUCUCAUUUACCUUGCUAAUAUCACUAUGCAUGGGCGUAGUCUUGUCUCGCAAUGAUUGCUAAGUAUGCUUGCACUAACUAUGAUAAUGCUAGACUAUAUAGUUGAGAAUAACUUAGGGAAUAUUCUUGUAGUUCGUUCUAAUACCAUGCUAAUGACUUUCUCGAGUAUCUAAUUGAGAUGCUUAUCAUAUUUAUUACGUGGCUAGAUCAGAUUAAUUAUCUUUGUCACUAUUAUUAUUUCAUAUAUCUUUUAUAUGACACUUAUCCCUGUAUGAAGAGUUAGAUAUAAUGUUCUCAAUUAUACAUGCAAUGGUAGAUGCUCAAUCUCAUAUUCUAUUCUGUAAUCAAUAGUGAUGAUUGCUAAUCCCUUCCGAGUGGUAAAAAUAUAAAUAACGAUACCUAGAAUACUUCCCGGUUAAAAUGCUACAUCGGUAUUAAUCUGUGCACUUGCAUAUCCCAUUCAUUAUUUAUUUAGAAGAGCAAUUGCAUAUUUCAAUACCGCGUCUCUCAUGUCAUGCUGGGGAUGACAACUUGGCUUAAGUGGUGUGAGGGAUAGGUUUGGCAUUUUUGGCACCGUUACUAGAUUUAGAGAACUUAGUCUACUUUUGGUAAUGAUGUUAAGAAUACCCAUCAAGCAUUUUUGGCGCCGUUGCCGGGGAAGGUUGAUUACUAAUCAAGAAUGGAAUAAAAGAUUUUGAGUUAUCAUUCGCAUCACUAAUAUGAUUGAGCUUAUCUAUUCUCUCAUACAGUUUUACCCUGAUAUUUUUCUAUUUUAUCUUAUGCAGGGGAAUGUAUGAAUAGAAGACAUCUUCUAGGAAAUUUUGUUGACAAUCCCGAAGCAUUAUUUAAGAAGACGAGAGCCAAGCUCAAGAAGAGAUCAUCAACACUUCAGCAAGAAGCUUCAUCCAAUCAAGAAGAUCACCGGAACUUGUCUUCAGAGUUCGAAGCCAUGGCGAACAAAUCGAUCCGCGAGUUCUCAGCUCCCACUACGGACAACAUCCGCACUGGACCUGCUGCAGAGAUCGACGGCAACUUUGAGCUCAAGCCUGGACUUAUCAACAUGGUGCAAUCCAACUAGUUGUGUGGGAAGGCACACGAAGAUGCUAGUGCUCAUUUACAACACUUCCUGGAGAUUUGCAACACAUUCACCAUAUCAGGAGUUUCCAAAGAUGCUAUACUACUUCGCCUCUUCCUAUUCUCACUGUUAGGAAGAGCGAAGCAGUGGUUCUACGCUACAAAGGAGAAGAAUACUACGUGGCACUCUGCUCAACAAACUUUCUGGCAAAGUUCUUUCCCAUGGGCAAGACCAAUGCUCUCCGUGGGAAGAUUACAAGUUUUCAGCAACAAAAUGAUGAAUCUGUUCCAGAAGCAUGGGAGCGCUUUCAAGACUACAUCCUAGAAUGCCCCCAUCAUGGAAUGGAGAGUUGGCUAUUGAUGCAGACGUUUUAUCAUGGACUCAGCAACAGCGCCCGAGAGACCAUGGAUGCUGCAGCUGGAGGAGCAUUCUUAUCACUUACUAUAUCACAAGCCACAGCUCUUGUGGAGAAGAUGGCGUCCAAUCAAAGCUAGAAUGAAGAGAGGACCCAGACACGCAAGAGAGGUGGAGGUAUGCAUCAGCUCAAGGAGGUAGACAUGUUGUCUGCAAAGCUAGACAUGCUCAUGAAGAAGCUCGACGAUAGAGCUGGAAGGAAGUUAUGCACAUCUACGACUCUCACAUGACUUGUGAGGAGUGUGGAGAUACUGAACACUCAGGCAACCACUGCCCUAAGAUGCUUGAGGAUUUGAACUACAUCAACAACAACAACAACAACUACUACAACCGUCCUCAACAAAAUCAAGGUUGGAAUCAACACAGGCCUAACUACUCAGGUAAUUAUCAAGGUAACAAUUCUUACAACAAUAAUAAUAAUUUUCCACCUUUGAGAGAGUUAGUGUCUAAUCAAGGAAAGCUAAUGGAUAACCUAUCUAAGAAAUUGGCAUCUAAUGAUAAAAUGCUAGAAAAUAUAAAUAAUAGAAUGGAUAAUUUCUCUACUGCCAUCAAGAAUCAAAUUAGCUUUAAUAAAAUGAUUGAAUCUCAGUUAAAUCAAAUAGCUGCUGCUGUUCCUACUACUAACCCCGGUAUACCAUCACAACCGGAAGGAUUAGAAUCUGCAAAUCUUGUAGACAUGUUUGAUGCAGGUAAUAAUUGGAGUAACCCCAUCACUGAAUUCUCUACUGACCUUCUGCCGGUCAAGAGAGGCGAUCCAGGACGCCCCGUCAUCCCGAUCUCCAUCGGCAUGGUGGACGUUCCAGAAGCACUCUGCGACUUUGGCUCUAGCGUCAAUAUUAUACCCAGGGUACUCUAUGAAAAAUUCUUUACAUAUCCUUUAUUAGAGACAACCAUGUGUUUGCAGUUUGCAGACCAGACAAUAACUUUUCCAAAAGGAAUAUUGAUGAACCUUUGUGUCCGAGUUGGUACCUUAUAUGCUCUAGCAGACUUCGUAGUGGUAGAGACCGGAAAUGAUGAGAGAGCACCUAUCAUCUUAGGGAGGCCAUUCUUGAACACCACGAGAGCUAUCAUCUACGCUAGUGCUGCCAAGAUCAGUUUCUACAUCAAAGGGAGGAAGGAGACGUUUUUCUUCAAGAACAAGACUACACAAAUCCCAGAUCAAUCCAGACGUGAAUCAAGGAAGAGGACCAACAGGAGGAACAGGAACAAACAAGUGUGGACCGAGUCAGCUAAGAUGGUCACUGUAGUUCAUGGAGGCCAGGAUCACCAACUUAAGUCACCGCUUUUGACCAAGAAGGACGACCCAGGAAUGCCAAGCAUCUACUGCUCCAUAAAUGAUACAAGUUCUACAAGGCAACUUGUGACACCGGAUCGGGCGUCAACAUAAUGGCCGCAGUCACCUAUCGGCUCUUGUUCGGGACCAUGCCCCUAAGACCAACAUACAUUCAACUCUAGAUGGCAGAUCAGACAUUCGAGAAGUUAAAGGAAUAGUAACUGAUGUCCCAGUCAAAAUAGACGAUCACUUUGUCUACACAGACUUUCAGGUUAUUGACAUGGGAGAAGACGAGUAUGAUCCACCCAUCAUCCUUGGAAGACCGUUCCUCAGCACCGUUAAAGCAAUUAUCUACAUUGGAACUAGAGAAGUCCAUAUGCACUUCCCCUCAGAGAAGGUACGCUGUUAUUUUACUGACCCAAACUAUAUCAUUGAAGAAUCUAAGCAGGUAAGAAAGCGACGCAACUGCAACCAGAGGAGGCAGAUCAUUAAGGAUGGAUGGGCAGACUAUGAAGGAGAAGUUGUAAGGUCAGAAGACGUAGAGUUUAAACAGAAUUAUCUAGAGGAGACUGAAGCACCGAGUCAGGUAUGGAAAAUGAAGAUAACUAUACAUGAAGAGGAGGCACCGCCGGAAGUACCGACUACGCCACCCAACGAACCUCAGGACAAUUAAGAAAAUGGAGAGUCCCGUUCGGAGGACUUAAAAACACCGAACGCCUUGCCAAGAGGUAAACUUGGUAGUUAUCCUUUCCCUUUCAAUUAUUUCAAAUAGUUUACUUAGUUAAUCAUGGUCGUACUAUCCUAAAAAGAAAAUAAAAAAAUAUGAAAAAACAGUAAGGCCCAUGUGACUAUACGAGUGGCAUAAAACCCAUAAGUAUAUUCACUGUGGUGGCAUAAAAAUAAAAUAAAUAUUUUUCUGCUUUAUAAAAAUAAAAAUAUAAAAAAUAGGGAGUAAUAAUUAUUAAGGAGUCUCAACAUGAUAAAGGCUAGAUAUUUAUGCUAACACUUAAUCAGUUCCACAAGCUUUGUUGUCUAUUUGAGCUCCAUAGAAUUUAAGAAUCAAGAAGACUAGCAGACGGAGGACAUUCUAAUCGCUGUUAGAAUACUGCUGACUUUCAAAUACACCUCUGCCACCUGUUAGCUACAUCAAGAGAAAUUACGUCAAAAUUCAGCUUGGGGGAGAGCACCCCUAUUUAUCUCGAUAAGUAUUUCUAUCUAUCUUUAUACUUAAAUUAUUUUAGAAUAUAAAUAUACAUAACUAUAAAAAACCAAAUAAAGAUUUUAUGCUUAUAUAUAUAUAUGUCUUUUGCUUAGUGUGUUUAAUAAAUAAAUAAAGUGUCUAUGCUAAUUUGUAUCUAAAUAAAACUUAAGCAUGGAUAUGAUGAAUAGUUGCUCUGCCUAAUUUGCACAUUUUAAGUUCUCUCUCAAGUUUAGAUACAACUGUUAUAAUUUAAAGCUUGCUCUAGACCUAAACUUGUGGGAUGAAAACUUGAUCUGAAGUCUAAGUUGUUAACGGAUACAAUAUGGGAAGGUUGAGCUGCUGUUUAUCUGUUCCUAGAGAUGCUAGAAUUCUGGAGAAUUUUAUCUUUGAAAAUCUUUAAAAUGUUGCAUGAUGAGUUCCUGUAUGAUUAGAGUUUAAAUUCCUACCACAGCCAUAUAUACAUGCUUGCUAGACUUUGAGCCACACAUUUAAUAUUUACUGCUUAUGAGCAUUGAGUGUGGUCAAGCUGUGUAGACCCUUAGGAGCUUGUCAUGUGGUUAAAUCAAGAUUUCACUUGCACGUUCACUCAUGCUACUUAUACUCCGGAAGUACCAUCCACAUAUAUCCACCCAUUUCCAUCUCCAGAAUCACCCAAAAAUAUUCUACUCCUAAUCCGGGAGAGAAUAACCAAAAAUAUUUCUGUUUUCCCUUGUGAAAUAAAUGCUCAAGUUAUCUUGUUACUACCACUUGCUAUAUUAUCUCAAGAAAUGAGUGCUCUAAAAAAAGAGAGAAAAAAUACGAGGAAAUAAAAAGGAGCAAGUGCUCGGAACCUCGAAAGAAAAGAAAAAGUGAGACGAGAGGUAAAAAUGGACAAGUGUCCGACAGUAGAAUUAGGGGUACAAGAUACCCACCUGAGAGAAAAGAAAAAAAGAAGAGCAUCUCAUUCUCCUCAUAAAUUCAAAAAGCAAGGAAGGUUUGUAUCUCCUCAAAGAGCAAAGUUGAAUUAGACUUCCACCAUCAUUGUUUUCACCAUUGUUAUCACCAUCAUCACCAUACACCAUUCAUUCGCCACACAUGCACAUCUUGAUUAAACUUAUUGAUUUGUUUCUUUGGAUCCAUGGUUUGACUAUGCAAUAAAUGUCUUGUAAGUAUGUAUACUUUAUCUCCCACCUAUGAGCUCCAGAUAUUAAAGCAUUAUUAGAGUAGGGUGAGAGAGAGAGACAAUGUCACUAUGCUUAAUACCAUAAAUACCACAUAUCUUGAGAGAAGGCAUAUACCAUCACUGCCUUGGUAAGGAUCCAGAAAUACCACAAAAGAGAGAUAUGAGAGAAUCAUACAAGAAAUCUCUGAGUUUUAUUUGAAAAUCUGCAAAAACCCCAGAGCUAUAGCUGAUCAAGAAUAAGAGACAUGGCACUUAGCUAGACUGUUCUAUCUUUUAACCACUCAAGACAGAAGUGACGGUUACAAGUCCCAUGGUGAAAGGUAAAGUAAGUAAGUUUUAAGUCUUGACAGUUUACUCUAACUCAGAGAUGAGAUCUUAUUUAAAAAGCAUGUGUACCGUCAAUUCUUUUUAAAAUAUUGCAACAACUUAUGAUCCAUAGCUGAGUCUAAACUUGCUCAGGGACGAGCAAGAGGUAAGCUUGGGGGAGUUUGUUGACGGUCCUUAAGUAUCAAAUUUAGUUAUCAAAUAAAUAAAGAAAAGGAUCCAAAUGAAAUCAACAUCUAGACUUAGGGUUUUAUCUGACAGAAUUCCACGAGUUUUGGUGUUUGUCUAUUUCUGCAGGGGGUUAUCAGGAAAUACGGAAGAAAGGCCCACACGUCGGGAUUACAUAGAGAUAUUAACGUGCCGUGCAAUUAUCUUACAUCUAGAAGACUCCAGAAGCCACGAGACCGAAGCGGAGGCGAAACGGGGCCAGAGGCAGGGCGCCCGCCCUCCAGCCCUGGGCGCCCGCCCUAUCCCUGAGUCCAAUCAGGACUCUGCUUCGUGGGAGAUCUCCACCGACCUAAAGGAUGAAUCUAAACCAUGCAAUCUAAGUCGGUUUGAUCCAACGGCCCAUAUUCACUUGAAGGGACUAUAAAACCAGAUCCCCUAGCCCCUGGAGGAGAGAGCCUCUCAACCCUAAUUCAUUGUUCUUCAAGGGAGAAGAAGCCUCUGAUCAAGAUUAGAGCCACCACAUCAAUUAGAUAUCUAGAUUAGCAUAGCUACAUAGGAUUAGAACUAGAAGGAGUCAAUCUUCGAUUGGUUUCCGAAACUGUCAAGAGGAUUCUUGGUAAUUCUCUAAUUGUGCUUCUAAUUACUUUCUAAUUAUCUUUGUUCUUCAAUAUUAUGAAUAUGACUUUGUUCUACUUCAAUAUAUUUCUUAUGACUUUGCUCUACUUGCUUAUAUUCAAGAUUAUAUUGUUCUUAGUUUAUCAUAGUUAUGUACUUGGCUUAGUUAGAUUGGAUCUAUAUACAUGCUUAGGAUCGUAUAGCGUUUAUCCAUCGGAUCCAUGGGUAAAUGAUAGAUAUUGUGUAGGCAUAGUGCUUAUACCGUAUUUAUCUGCGAUUGUACCCAAUAUGCCAGAUCGUGGGGUGGUUCGUGAUAGUGACAGCUUCAUUGAUUCUUAUAUAGUCCCCCUCUCGUGUAUUGGGCUGGCAGAGCAACAUUAUUACAGGGGAGUGAUUGCUAUGUUUCUCAUUUACCUUGCUAAUAUCACUAUGCAUGGGUGUAGUCUUGUCUCGCAAUGAUUGCUAAGUAUGCUUGCACUAACUAUGAUAAUGCUAGACUAUAUAGUUGAGAAUAACUUAGGGAAUAUUCUUGUAGUUCGUUCUAAUACCAUGCUAAUGACUUUCUAGAGUAUCUAAUUGAGGUGCUUAUCAUAUUUAUUACGUGGCUAGAUCAGAUUAAUUAUCUUUGUCACUAUUAUUAUUUCAUAUAUCUUUUAGGUGACACUUAUCCCUGUAUGAAGAGUUAGAUAUAAUGUUCUCAAUUAUACAUGCAAUGAUAGAUGCUCAAUCUCAUAUUCUAUUCUGUAAUCAAUAGUGAUAAUUCCUAAUCCCUUCCCAGUGGUAAAAAUAUAAAUAACGAUACCUGGAAUACUUCCCGGUUAAAAUGCUACAUCGGUAUUAAUCUGUGCGCUUGCAGAUCCCAUUCAUUAUUUAUUUAGAAGAGCAAUUGCAUAUUUCAAUACCGCAUCUCUCAUGUCAUGCUGGGGAUGACAACUUGGCUUAAGUGGUGUGAGGGAUAGGUUUGGCAUUUUUGGCACCGUUACUAGAUUUAGAGAACUUAGUCUACUUUUGGUAAUGAUGUUAAGAAUACCCAACAACCGGAAGGUACAAAGUGAGGAUGAGAGUAGUGAAAGUGAUAGUGAAUUUGAACCACCAUCUUAUGAUGAACUUGUAAAGUUGCUUAACAAGUACACAAAAGUCAUAAGAAAAUCUAGAAGUGAAAAUGAAAAGCUUGAACUUCAAAAUGAAGCACUUCUAGCAAAGCUUAAGUCUAGUGAUGAGCUUAGAGACCAAAAUGAGAUCAUGACCACUAAGCUCAAGGAGCUCAAACUCUCUUUAAAAGAGCUCAAAGAAAAAAAUGAUAAACUUGAGAGUGUUCAUGAUGAGCUUAUCACUAGAUAUAGAGCAAUAAAAGACGAGCUAACAACUCUAAAAGCAAACUAUGACAACCUUGAGAUUGCUUAUGAACUUGCAAUUGAUGAAAGACAUGUUGCUACUAACCAUGUUGCUAAGCUUGAUGUAGCCACAUCUUGUGAUGACUUACUUAUGGAGAGCACAAGAAAAUGUGUUGAUUGCAAGGGCAAGAAAGUGGUAGUGGCCGAGAGCUAUGAGGAUACUAUCAAGCUCAAGGAUGAAAUUGUCAUGCUCAAGAAAGAGUUGCAAGAACAAGCCAAGCACAAGACCAUUGUGAUUGAGUCACUUGAUCAAGACAAGAAGCUUGCAUAUGAGAACAAGUUACUCAAGGAAGAAAAUCAAUAUCUCAAGCUUGUUUUGAUGUAUGACAAGCAAGAAGAGGAUGAGACAUUCAUCUUGGAUGAGUUAGCUAGCAACAAUGACCUAAUCAUCAAGAAGCUAACUCAAGAGAAUAGCAAGCUCAAGAAAGAGAAGGAACACCUAACCAUGGGGUUAGCAAAGUUCACAAAAGGGAAGGACCUUCAAAGUGAGAUUUUUAUGAACACCGUCAUGAAGAUGGAUAAGAGUGGGAUUGGCUACAAGGCUCAUCAAACAAAGCUCAUCAAGUCACUAGCCACUCAUGAUCAACCAAGCAAGCCAAAGCCAAAGAGAUGCUUUGAGUGUGGUCAAGAAGGACACUUUGCUCAUGAGUGUAAGGCACCACUACCACCACCCUUGCCCAAGCAUGCAAGACCAUUUGCCUUCAAUGCUCACUACAUUGUAAGGAAAGACAAGAGUGGCAAGGUCAAGGUUAGCUUCAUGGGGCCUCCUAACAAGCAAAGGCCAAAGAAUAUUUGGGUGCCAAAGCAACUAGUAGAGAAGGUCAAGGGCCCUAAGCAAAUGUGGGUCCCAAAAUCUCAAGCUUGAUCUCUUGUGUGUAGGUGAACUACAAGACCGGUGGAUCACAUUGGGUAAUUGAUAGUGGUUGCACUCAACAUAUGAUCGGAGAUCCCCGGAUGUUCACCUCUCUUGAUGAAGAUGUUGACAACCAAGAGAAGAUCACAUUUGGUGACAAUUCAAAAGGCAAGGUCAAGGGACUAGGAAAGGUUGCUAUAUCAAAUGACAACUCCAUCACCAAUGUGCUCUAUGUGUAAUCAUUGAGUUUCAACUUGCUCUCGGUAGGACAACUUUGUGAUCUUGGAUUUGAAUGCCUAUUCAAAAAGAAGGAAGUAAUUGUGACCAAGGAAGAUGACAAUGAAGUGAUAUUCAAAGGCUUCCGACACAACAACUUAUAUGUAGUUGAUUUCACAUCCGAUGAAGUUGAUGUUAAGACUUGCUUAUUCACCAAGACUUCACUUGGGUGGUUGUGGCAUAGAAGGUUAGCACAUGUUGGAAUGGGCACACUCAAGAAGUUGAUGAAGAAAGAAUUGAUUAGAGGCUUGAAGGAUGUGACAUUUGAAAAGGACAAGCUUUGUAGUGCAUGUCAAGCCGGCAAGCAAGUUGCAAACACUCAUCCAACCAAGGCCUAUCUCUCUACUUCAAGAGUGCUUGAGCUACUUCACAUGGAUUUAUUUGGACCAACCACAUAUGCUAGUCUUGGGGGCAACAAAUAUUGCUUGGUCAUAGUUGAUGACCUCUCCCGGUACCUUGGACAUUCUUCUUGCAAGACAAGGCUGAAGUUGCAUCAAUAUUCAAGAAGUUUGCAAAGAAUGCCCAAAAUCAAUUUGAUGUCAAGAUCAAGAAAAUUAGAAGUGACAUUGGCAAAGAGUUUGACAACACCAACAUUGAAGAGUAUUGUGAUGAAGUGGGAAUCAAGCAUGAGUUCUCCUCAACAUACACACCACAACAAAAUGGGGUUGUAGAAAGAAAGAACCGGACAUUGAUCACCUUGGCAAGAACAAUGCUAGAUGAGUACAACACUUCGGAGAAGAUGUGGGCUGAGGCAAUCAACACCGCAUGCUAUGCUUCAAACCGGCUCUUUCCUCACAAGUUCCUAGAGAAGACACCAUAUGAGUUGCUCAAUGGGAAGAAGCCCGAUGUCUCAUUCUUUAGAUUGUUUGGGUGCAAAUGCUACAUCUACAAGAAGCGCCAACACUUGGGAAAGUUCCAAAGAAGAUGUGACGUUGGCUACUGUUGACAGUCCUUAAUGCUCACAUUUAACCAUCAACUAAUCAUAGAAAAGGAUCCAAAUGCAACCAACACCUAGACUUAGGGUUUUAUCUGACAGAAUUCCACGAGUUUUGGUGUUUGUCUAUUUCUGCAGGGGGUUAUCAGGAAAUAUGAAAGAAAGGCCCACACGUCGGGUUUACAUAGAGAUAUUAACGUGUCACACAAUUUUCUAUCAUCUAGACGACUCCAGAAGCCACGGGAACGAACGGGAAGGAAAUCGGGCUCGGAGGCAGGGCGCCCGCCCAGCUACAGUGCCCAAUGAGGACACGUUUCGCGGAUCAUGCUCCACCGACCUAAUACUUCAAGGAAAACCACACAAUCAAUGUCGGUUUGAUCUGACGGCCCAGAUUCACUUGAAGGGACUAUAAAACCAGACCCCCCUGGCCCCUGGAGAUCAUACCUCUUCUACAGAAUCAAAGUUAGGGUUUCAAUUCUUCAUCCAAGUAGAGAGGAUCCCUCUAGUUCUUCUAGUUCUACAUCUAGUUCAUCUAGAUCUAGUUCUAGUUCUAGUUCUUCUAGUUCUAGUUCUAGUUAGUUCUAGUUGUAAUCUAGAAAAUAGGGAGAGAGAAGAGGAGAGCGGAGGAGGAGCCGGAUCUGUCGGAUCUUCCUCAACAUUAUACUUUUGAAGCAACUGGUUUGUCCUUCAUCGUUCUCCAGGUUCUUCAAUUCAUAAUUCCUGAGUUCUUUAAUUACUUUUAUUUACAUUCAAGUUAUUUAUUGGAUUCCCGCUUGCAUCAAGUGCUCUAGUCUUUGUAACGCUAGAGUAGUAAUUAAUAGAUUAGACAUGGUGUUUAGUCUUGCAAUUACCUGGAAUUGCACCCAAUCCUGCGGAUUGUUGUGGUAGCCUUAGGGUAGUGACAGCCCUAACGGUCGACGUAUUCCACCAUGUUCGGAUCGGUGUUUGUAGGACCGUAGUCAGACCUUCCUAGCCCCCUUCUCAUCUCUUUCUGUGGUUAGUGCUCUGAUGUCCCGAUAUAGAUAAUCUUGAAGUAAUUCUUGAUUCUUAGAUCAACUAGAGAACUCUCAGGAAACUUCCUCUCUUCCCACCAAAAAUAUUCAUAUAGUUAUCCUUGGGCGAUCUUGGAUCUUAAUUAGUACACUCACGUUCUCUGUGGAAAAUCGAUACUCUGGAAUACUCCCGGGUGAAGGCUACAUCGGUAUCCGUGCGCUUGCGGAUUUUUCUGUUUGCGUUUAAAAUACCCAACAAGUUUUCUGGCGCCGUUGCCGGGGAACGGUAGUUGUGCUAGUUUCGAACCAAGUCGUCCGUGUAUCCUUUUUCUUUUCCCUUUUUUACCACACUCACCUUACCAUUUUCACCACACCACAUGGAUUUCACUCUAAGCAUUAAUGAGCAUGGAAUUUAUUUCAUAGCCACUUCAUUUACUCCGUGCUCAUAUGCAACAUCUUCACAAUCCAUUGGUCUCUCCAACAUCACCACAUUCGAGAUCUCCAACCCCCACUUCCUUUCUAUUUAUAAAAACUUUAAAAGGGCGGUUGUCGAUGCAUAUGUCUAUAAUAAAUUUUGCAGAUCUCGUUGAGUUGAUCUUGAUAUAGGUCAGCGUUGGAGGGGAAACCACUUCGCUGACAUAAAUUAAUGGUUUCCCAAGGACAAGCUUAGUGUCCUAAAACAAGCACUGAUCAGAUCAUAACAUGAGCUUUUAAUUAUUUGCAACAUUACCUUGUGUUUUGAGCAUAUAAGGAUAAUUGUAAAAAAAUUCCUUCGGGUAUUCUUGUCACUAACCUUUACAUGAUUAGAGCAAGAAGAUCGGAUGAAUGACAAGCACAAGGUAUGUCCAACCAAUCAUCAUACAACAUUGAAUUAAAUUCAUCCAAACUUGAAUUUUGCAAAAUUCAAGCUUGGGGGAGUACUAUACAUAAAAACAUCAUUUGCCAUGUUGCUAUGUUGGUUGUCCCUACCUUUGAGACAUGCUCAAUUUGUUAAAUAGUAAUCACACUACUUCAUCUCUACUUGAGUAGAUCUUUAUAAAAGCCAUCACGCUACCUUUGUUUAUCCUAGUAAGUGUUAGUUUGGAAGUACUGUAAAUACUUCUAUUGGUUUUUAAAUUAAGCAUGGUGCUUAGGUUAAAUAGCCUUCCUUAAUCUAAUUAGACAUGGAGUCUAGUUUGGUUAUUGAACUAAAAACUGCUUGUGUAGACAUUGGUAUAUUUUGUCAGACUAACCCCUGUAGAAAAAAAAACUUUCAAUAUCGACCUGGGAAGUCCUGAGAUAAACUCACAUUGGAGACAAAGAGAGACACACAUGAAGGUUAACAAUUUACAAAGGAAUGCAUAGCUCACAAGAGAUGAUCCAUGGAGGGUGCCACAAACACGAUGCACAACCGCUAAGAAAGGAAAGCUUCCACAAGGUGAUACUGUACCAUCACUCUUCAAGUAAGGUAACAUCUUAAAGUACUUGACUAUCACUUUUAUAAGCUUCUCCUUGGUUCUGACGUUCAUAUGAAUAAAAGAGACAAACAUGUAUGAUUUAUAACUCUAGAUUAACCAACCCAAUCGAUUCAACAUGUUUAGUCCUUCCACCUUUGUGAUCUCACACUCCUAAUCAUAUGAACUAAAAUGUUGCACACUCAAUCUUUGGAAAAUGAUAGUCAUGUAAAGAAAAAAAGCAUUUACUUAGAUAGAUUAUCUUUUCAUAAGGUUGAGUGAUCUGAUCUGACAAAUGUUUUAAAUGCUACACUCAUGAUCUUAUUAUCCAUCAACUUUGUCUUGCUCACUAUGCUUAAGCUUAGAGAAGAACAAAUACACUUUUGGUUCUGUUGGUGUUUUCCACCAACAGGACCCAUGCACUUGAUCUCUGCCUUGUCUCUAUGAGCAGGUACACUUCGAGCAAAAUAUGAAAGAGUUUUACAACUACCAGACUCCACCAAGUGAAGAACCUAGAUAUACGAGCACAAACACACUGGAGAUACUGGACACCCAUGCAAUCACUGCCCUGAGAUGCUUGAGGACGCAACUAGUGGAGUAACCCCAUUGUGGAAGUAAUUACUGACCUUCUGCCGGUCUAGAGAGACAAUCCAGGACGCCCCGUCAUCCCGAUCUUCAUCGGCAUGAUGGACUUCCUAGAUGCACUCUGCAACUUUGGCUCCAGCGUCAACAUUAUGCUCAGGGUACUCUAUGAAAAAUUCUUUACACAUGCUUUCCUAGAAACAACCAUGUGUUUGCAGCUUGCAGAUCAGACACUAAGUUUCCCAAAGGGAAUAUUGAAGAACCUCUACGUCCGAGUUGGUACCUUAUACGCUCCAGCAGACUUCGUGGUGAUAGAGACUGAUACUGAUGAGAGGGCACCCAUCAUCCUAGGGAGGUCAUUCCUGAAUACCUCGGGAGCUAUCAUCUACGCUAGUGCUGCCAAGUUCAGUUUCUACAUCAAAGGGAGGAAGGAGACGUUUUCCUUCAAGAAUAAGACUACACAAAUCUCAAAGCAAUCCCGACAUGAACCAAGGAAGAGGACCAACAGGAGGAACAGGACCAAGCAAAUGUGGACCGAGUCAGCUAAGAUGGUCACUACAGUUCAAGGAGGUCAAGAUCGUCGAUUCAAGUCACCUUUCUUGAUCAAGAAGGACGACCCUGGUGUUCCAAGCAUCGACUGCACAAUCAACGGAUAUUCUUUUCAGAAGACACUCUACGACACCGGAUCUAACGUCAACAUAAUGGCCGCAGUCACUUAUCAGCUCCUGUUUGGAACCAUGCCCCUAAAACCAACAUACAUUCAGCUCCAGAUGAUUUUAAGGUUAUUGACAUGGGAGAAGACGAGUAAGAUCCACCCAUCAUCCUUAGGAGACCAUUCCUCAGCACCGUUAAAGCAAUCAUCUACAGUGGAACUGGAGAAGUCCACAUGCACUUCCUCUCUAAGAAGGUACGCCACUAUUUUACUAACCUUAACUAUAUAGUUGAAGACUCUAAGCAGGUCAGGACAAGAAGAAGACGACACAACCGCAACCAGAGGAGGAAAAUCAUCAAGGAUGGAUGGGCGGACUACGAAGGAGAAGUGCACCGAGUUAGGCGUAGAGAAAGAAGAUAGUUAUACAUGAAGAACAGGCGCCGUCGGAACCACCAACUACUCUAUCCAGCGAAUCCCAGGACGACUGAGAAUACGGAGAGUCCCGUUCGGAGGACUUAAAAACACCGAACGCCUUGCCAAUAGGUAAACUUGGUAGUUAUCUUUUUCCUUUCAAUUAUUUAAAAUAGUUUGCUUAGUUAAUCUGGUUCAUAUCAUCUUGAAAAGAAAAUAAAAAUGUUAAAAAUAGUAAGCCCCAUGUGAGUAUGCUCAUAGCAUAAAACCCAUAAGUAUAUUCACUGUGGUGGCAUAAAAAUAAAAUAAAUAUUUUAUUUCUGCUUUAUAAAAUAAAAAUAUAAAAACAGGGAGUAACAAUUAUUAAGGAGUCUCAACAUGAUAAAGGCUAGAUAUUUAUGCUAACACUUAACUAGUUCCACAAAACUUUGUUAUCUAUUUGAGCUCCACAGAAUUCAAGGAUCAAAGAAGACUAGCAGACGGAGGACAUCCUAAUUGCUAUCAGAGUGCUGCCGACAUUCAAAUACACCUCCGCCACGUGCUAGCUACAUCAGAAGAAAUUACGUCAAAAUCCAGCUUGGGGGAGAGCACCCCCAUUUAUCCAGCUAAGUAUUCUACUCACGUUUAUACUUUACUCUAAUAAUAAAAAGAUGCAUAAUCAUAUAAACCCAAAUAACGAUUUUGUGCUUACAUAUAUAUCUUUGCUUAGUUUGCUAAAUAAAUAAAUAAAUAAAGUUUGCUAUGAAUCCUCAUGAUAAGCUCUCACAUGCAAAUGAUGAAUAGUUGCUCUGCCAUGACUAGUUCUUAAAAUUGAAAUCUCUCUCAAGUUUAGGCAUUACUGGUAUUAAUUAAGAUUUGCUCUAAACCUGAACUUGUGGGGAGAAUACUUGAUCUAAAGUCUAAGUCGUUAACGGAUAUGAUAUGGGAAGGUUGAGCUGCUGUUUAUCUGUUCCUAGAGAUGCUAGAAUUCUGGAGAAUUUUAUCUUUGAAAAUAUUUAAAAUAACACAUGAUGAGUUCCUGUAUGAUGAGAGUUUAAAUUCCUACCACAGCCAUAUAUAUACAUGCUUGCUAGACUUUGAGCCACUCAUUUACUUUUUACUGCUUAUGAGCAUUGAGUGUGGUCAAGCUGUGUAGACCCUUAGGAGCUUGUCAUGUGGUUAAAUCAAGAUUUCACUUGCACGUUCACUCAUGCUACUUAUACUCCGGAAGUACCAUCCACAUAUAUCCAUUUCCAUCUCCAGAACCAGCCAAAAAUAUUCUACUCCUAAUCCGGGAGAGAAUAGCCAAAAACAUUUCUGUUUUCCCCUGUGAAAUAAAUGCUCAAGUUAUCUUGUUACUACCACUUGCUAUAUUAUUUCAUGAGAUGAGUGCUCUCUAAAAAAAAUAAGAAAAAAAAAGAAAAAAAAGAGAUACGAGGAAAUAAAAAGGGGCAAGUGCCCGGAACCUCGAAAGAAAAGAAAAAGUGAGACGAGAGGUAAAAAUGGACAAGUGUCCGAUAGUAGAAUUAGGGGUACAAGUUACCCACCUGAGAGAAAAGAAAAAGAAAAUAUAGAGCAUCUCAUUCUCCUCAAAAAGUUUCAAAAGAGCAAGAAAGGUAUGUACCCCCUCAAAAGAGCACAAGUAGAAUUAGACUUUCACCAUUGUUAUCACCAUCAUCACCAUACACCAUUCAUUCGCCACACAUGCACAUCUUGAUUUGACUUUUUGACUUGUUCUUCUGGAUCCAUGGUUUGACUAUGCAAUAAAUGUCUUGUAAGUAUGUAUUAGCUGUCUCCCACCUAUGAGCUCCAGAUAUCAAAAGCCUUAUUAGAGUAGGGUGAGAGAGAAGGCAAUGUCACUAUGCCUCAUACCAAAAAUACCACAUACUUUGAGAGAAGGCAUACACUAUUAUUGCCUUGGUAAGGAUCCAGAAAUACCACAAAAGAGAGACUAGAGAGAGUCAUACAAGGAAUCUCUAAGUUUUAUUUGAAAAUCUGCAAAAACUCUAGAGCUAUAGUUAAUCGAAGAACAAGAGACAUGGCGCUUGACUAGACCGUUCUAUCUUUUAACUCCUCAAGACAGAAGUGACGGUUCUAAGUCCCAUGGUGGAAGGUAAAAUGAGUAAGUUUAAAUCUUAACAGUUUACCCUAACCCAGAGAUGAGAUCUUGUUUGAACGCAUGUGUAUCUUUAAGGCAUGAAACCACUGCAGAAACUCUUGAGUCCAUCUUUGCUCAGGGACGAGCAAAGGUUAAGCUUGGGGGAGCUUGUUGACAGUCCUUAAUGCUCACAUUUAACCAUCAACUAAUCAUAGAAAAGGAUCCAAAUGCAACCAACACCUAGACUUAGGGUUUUAUCUGACAGAAUUCCACGAGUUUUGGUGUUUGUCUAUUUCUGCAGGGGGUUAUCAGGAAAUAUGAAAGAAAGGCCCACAUGUCGGGUUUACAUAGAGAUAUUAAUGUGUUGCACAAUUUUCUAUCAUCUAGAAGACUCCAGAAGCCACGGGAACGAACGGGAAGGAAAUCGGGCUCGGAGGCAGGGCGCCCGCCCAGCUACAGUGCCCAAUCAGGACACGUUUCGCGGAUCAUGCUCCACCGACCUAAUACUUCAAGGAAAACCACACGAUCAAUGUCGGUUUGAUCCGACGGCCCAGAUUCACUUGAAGGGACUAUAAAACCAGACCCCCUGGCCCCUG